rnacentral:rRNA from 1 species
UUGAACGCUGGCGGCAGGCCUAACCCAUGCCAGUCGAACGGUAACAGGAAGAAGCUUGCUUCUUUGCUGACGAGUGGCGGACGGGUGAGUACUGUCUGGGAAACUGCCUGAUGGAGGGGGAUAACUACUGGAAACGGUAGCUAAUACCGCAUAACGUCGCAAGACCAAAAAGGGGGACCUUCGGGCCUCUUGCCAUCGGAUGUGCCCAGAUGGGAUUAGCUAGUAGGUGGGGUAACGGCUCACCUAGGCGACGAUCCCUAGCUGGUCUGAGAGGAUGACCAGCCACACUGGAACUGAGACACGGUCCAGACUCCUACGGGAGGCAGCAGUGGGGAAUAUUGCACAAUGGGCGCAAGCCUGAUGCAGCCAUGCCGCGUGUAUGAAGAAGGCCUUCGGGUUGUAAAGUACUUUCAGCGGGGAGGAAGGGAGUAAAGUUAAUACCUUUGCUCAUUGACGUUACCCGCAGAAGAAGCACCGGCUAACUCCGUG